UAAGGAAUAUUGGUCAAUGGACGAAAGUCUGAACCAGCCAUGCCGCGUGGAGGAUGAAGGCCCUCUGGGUUGUAAACUUCUUUUAUAGGGUACGAAAAAGGGCCUUUCUAGAUCAACUGACGGUACCCUAGGAAUAAGCACCGUCUAACUCCGUGCCAGCAGCCGCGGUAAUACGGAGGGUGCAAGCGUUAUCCGGAUUCACUGGGUUUAAAGGGUGCGUAGGUGGGUUAGUAAGUCAGUGGUGAAAUCUUCGAGCUAAACUCGGAAACUGCCAUUGAUACUAUUAGUCUGGAAUAUUGUGGAGGUAAGAGGAAUAUGUCAUGUAGCGGUGAAAUGCUUAGAUAUGGCAUAGAACACCGAUUGCGAGGGCAGCUGGCUACACAUAUAUUGACACUGAGGAACGAAGGCGUGGGGAUCAAAAA
rnacentral:rRNA from 1 species